CACAAGCAGUGGAAUGACGUUAAAAACAGGGAUGUGUCAACCUAAAGGCCUAUACCUUAAAAUAUGCAUAAUACAUACAAAAAGAAUAACCCAAACUCUCAUUAACUCCAGUUGUUCUAAAGCAAAAAUAAGCCAAGCUAGGCAAUGAAUUAAAGAUGUGUAGCCAUUCUGUCUGUUCAUUUCAGUUACAUUUUUCAGUUAUACUUUACAGUAAAUGAUGUUAAACUUUUUUUAAAAAAGCAAGGCUAUGACAUGCUUUCAAACACUGUGGUCAUUCAAAGGGCUUUACAAGAAACAAGAUCAAACAAAAGCAAUCGUCAAAUGAAAAAUUAAAAAACAAGACAAAAUGACAGUAAUUAGGAAUUACAAACAAAAGACAGUAAAAUAAAAAGUAAAAGAAGAAGUAUCACCACUGAUUAUCAGUGCUAAUCUAAGGCACUGUGGAAUAAAAAUGUUUUGAGCCUGGUUUUAAAGGUGCCAACAUCUGAUUAUUUUUAACCGCCUCAAGGAGCCAGUGCCAGUUCUGAGUUGCAGAGCAGCUGAAUUCCGUUUGGUCUUGCUGACUUUUCACUUCUCUGUGAUGUAAACUAGGCCGAGAUCACUGAGUGAUUUGCAAAUAAGUAGCAGCACCCUGAAGUGGAUUCUAAAGGCAACUGGAAGCCAGUGUAAAGAGUGAAGGACUGGAGUGAAGGACUGGAGUGAAGGACUGGAGUGAAGGACUGGGGCGAAGGACUGGGGCGAAGGACCGGGGCGAAGGACCGGGGCGAAGGACCGGGGCGAAGGACCGGGGCGAAGGACCGGGGCGAAGGACCGGGGCGAAGGACCGGGGCGACGCGCAGGGCGAUGGCUUUGCUCUUCAUUGACCUACUCAGCAUCCUAGCAGCAGCAUCAUGAAUGAGCUGGAACUGUCUUAUGGAUUUUUUGGGAAGGUCAUACAGGACAGCGUUACAACAAUCCAAGCAAGUGGAGAUGAAAAGCAACCUUAUUAAUAAAUGUCAAAGGUAACACUGAAGAAUCUGCACGCUCUGAAGUUCAUCCAGACCCUGAAAUGCAGCACCAAUGAGGUCAGGCAAAGUUUAUCCUUUUAUCGACAGAGGAGGAGCUGCA